GUGAGCUCUCGGACACCAUGAGGUGACUGCAUGAACUUAAAAGUGCUUUAGCUACUGCCCUAGAAGAGCUUCAGGAAAGUGAGAAUCAGCUCAAGAUUAAUACUAAAACAGUGACUUCUCAGCUGCAAAAGCUGUUUAAAGAGAUGAAGAUGGAGAUUAUUCAGAAAGAGAAGAUCAUUCUGAGGGACAUUCAAUCCAACAAGAAAAAACAACUGACAGACAUUACCAAAGUGAAGAAGGAAAUGGAACAGAGGAGAGAUGAGGUUGUGUAGCACCUUCAGUCUUGGCAGGAAUUUAAACUGGACACAGACAGGCUUGGGAAUUGCAGUGUCAGCAGGAUGGAUGAGGUGGUGGUGUACCAGGAAGACUGCUACACACACACGAUGGCUUUACCUGAGAUCUCUGCUGCAACAAGUUUUCAGUGAGUGACCUGUCCCAACCUGCUGGCCCCCAGCCCACACCAGCAAGCCACAGGGCUCAGUGAGCCAGG